UUGGGGAAAAGUUUCUGAAGGUGUCAGUGGAGAUUGGAAAUGGCUCAGCAAAGGAAAACCAGAGAUAACAGAAAGAGGCACUUGUAUGAAGGGAAAAGACACAAAGCAAGGGCUCUGCAGUUUCUACUUUUGCCUUUCCAGCAUGAAAGAAGAUGUGAAUCACAACAUUAAAAAAGGCUGAGGGCAGCUUCAGAUGAUAGAACUUCCUUUGUGUUCUAGAAGACGUGGAUUUGAUGCCCACCACUGAGGGGUGACAAGACUCUUCGGCCACUCUUGGAUUUUGAUAGCAGCAGUUAUUUCAGCAUCCACUGAGAUAAAAAUCUUCUCAAUUAUGGCAAUGGAUGACUGUUGAAAAGGGAAGCAGACAGUGAGCUGAGAUAUACUGCUGGAACUUCAUGAGAAGUCUACCUUCAGACUUAUUAGUCCACAAGGAAAAUUGAGGGGGCAAGGCAGCUACAUUUUAGUAUCUUUUGCAAAUAAACAUUUGCAUUCCUAAAGGGCUGGCAUUGAAUAAGAAAACACGGCUCGGGGACUUCCCUGGUGGCACAGCGGUUAAGGAUCCGCCUGCCAAUGCAGGGGACACGGGUUUGAUCCCUGGUCCAGGAAGAUCCCACAUGCCUCGGAGCAACUAAGCCCAUGUGCCACAACUACUGAGACUGCGUUCUAGAGCCUGCGAGCCACAACUACUGAGCUCACGUGCCACAACUACUGAAGCCCGCGUGCCUACAGCCCAUGCUCCGCAAGAAGAGAAUCCACUGCAGUGAGAAGCCCGCACACCCCAACAAAGAGUAGUCCCUGCUCACCGCAACUAGAGAAAGCCCAUGCACAGCAACGAUGACCCAACACAGCCAAAGAUAAAUAAAUAAAUUGAUUUUUAAAAAAAAGAGAGAGAAAACAGGGCUCGUGAUUUGCUUGGUCUAAGUUUGCUCUGGCUGUUGUCAGUCACUGCAGGAUCAAAAUCUAGCACAGGGACCCGUUGCUGGGUUAAGUGAGGUAAAGCAAACUGACUAAAAGCUUUUUAAUCUUUUCUGACCAGUCAUCAUUUCAGACCAACUGCCAAGAAACUAAAAAAUCAUGUGUUACUUUGCAAUCAAACCGUUUUAUAAACUUUUAUCUGAGCCAACUGUGAGAAAUACAUUUGACCACACCUACUUCUGCCUCAGGGAGAAUAAGGACGUCUGAUUCUGACACAGGUCACACUUGAUGAUGUAGCAAUGACUGUGAUAAUAAUAAGCUGUAAAUGGCAUAAAAGGCCUCAAAAUAGAUUCUUCAUUUCAUUCUCAUAGUCUCCCCUCUCCUUCUUGUUUUUGUUCCUCAAAAUAAGAAUAAAAGGAAAUAAUCCAUCUCUCUUCUUCAGUUCCUCCCUCAAUUCACACACACACACACACACACACACACACACACACACACACACCCCUAAACUCUGGUCAUAAGAAAUAGCUUCUGUCUCUUCCACUUAAACUGCUGUUACAGCUACUUAGAACAAAGAAAGGAGAGAAAUGUAUGAGUAGCUGAGAAGAGCUUGAUCGGGGAAUUAACAUAGGAAACAACGCUCUACCUGAGGA